rnacentral:rRNA from 1 species
GACGAACGCUGGCGGCGUGCCUAAUACAUGCAAGUUGAGCGCUGAAGGUUGGUACUUGUACCAACUGGAUGAGCAGCGAACGGGUGAGUAACGCGUGGGGAAUCUGCCUUUGAGCGGGGGACAACAUUUGGAAACGAAUGCUAAUACCGCAUAAAAACUUUAAACACAAGUUUUAAGUUUGAAAGAUGCAAUUGCAUCACUCAAAGAUGAUCCCGCGUUGUAUUAGCUAGUUGGUGAGGUAAAGGCUCACCAAGGCGAUGAUACAUAGCCGACCUGAGAGGGUGAUCGGCCACAUUGGGACUGAGACACGGCCCAAAGUCCUACGGGAGGCAGCAGUAGGGAAUCUUCGGCAAUGGACGAAAGUCUGACCGAGCAACGCCGCGUGAGUGAAGAAGGUUUUCGGAUCGGAAAACUCUGUUGGUAGAGAAGAACGUUGGUGAGAGUGGAAAGCUCAUCAAGUGACGGUAACUACCCAGAAAGGGACGGCUAACUACGUG